CCCUGACAGCAGAGUGGACUUUCACAUAGUUCACAGACGAUUACAAAAUCACAUAAUGGUGACACGAUGAAGAAAGAGGGGAAAAAAUUAAAUAUGAGGCCUUUUUUAUUUUGAUUUUGAUCUCACAGAGUCCAGAGGAAUGAUCCUUAAUCAGCCAGCCAAGCAAAAAAUAAAACAACAACAACAAAAAAAGAUGAAGUGGAAGCAAAAAAUUAUAAUGAUAAAGUCCAAAAACAGGCUGGACAUGAAAACAGCCAACGCCAACCAGGAAACCACAAGAACACCAAGAACAGGAAGACCUCACACAAAGAAAAAGGAAAGAAGGAAACCUGCAGCGAGCAGCAACGCGUCACAGCGUGAGGGGAGCAGGCGGGAAAUCAGCCGAUGCUGAGGGACAACGGUGAGGCUCAUAUACUGUCAGUACGAACCACGGCAGUGAGAAACAGGUUCUAAUAGCAUUUGAUGUAAAAGGGCAAAGGUCAGAGGUCAAAGUCUGAUCAGGAUCCACUGAAAGCUUUUCCACCUAUCGUGUUUACAGACACUCAAAACGCUACAAAAACCAUCACGUCCUUGGCUGAGGUGAGUGGGAAUCAAUGAAGAAACCCAAAAACCAUCGAGAUUCACUGCUUAAAGGUGCAGUAGGCACCAAGUUUAAGUGACUUCCAUCAGACAGGCACUGGGACCAGGACCGGGACCAGGACCGGGACCAGGACCUUUAAACAGCUUUGUAAAAAGAGAGUGUCUGGGGAUUUUGCAGCUGGAGUCGGUGUUUUUCCUGUGUCUGCCCUCGUGGGUGGAGUCCCUGGUGUCUCACCUGAGUUCCAUCCACGGUUAAUCAGCAGAAGGUUCUUGAGGCCAGCGCUGUCCUCCACUCGCCACCAGUUUGUCAGCUACGUUCUGUUAGUGGUCAAUCUACAGACGCAUCCACUGCUGAAGCUUCUAUCGGACGCUGGUCAUACCUGGAAAGUUCAUCUGUAACCUUGGAAAAACAACUACUCACCACACUUACCUGCCUGGCCUCCUGCUCAUCGUUCUCCUCCUGGACUCCCUUGGAGCUGGAUCGGAUCUCUUGCUACUCCCACUGCUCUCACCUUGCCCGGAUACUCGAGCCUGCAUCCGAGUCCUGAUUGGAUAAGGCAUAGACAGGAAG